UACGGGGGGAGCAAGCGUUGUUCGGAUUUACUGGGCGUAAAGGGCGCGUAGGCGGUAGCACAAGUCAGUUGUGAAAUCUCCGGGCUUAACUCGGAAAGGUCAACUGAUACUGUGCGACUAGAGUGCAGAAGGGGCAACUGGAAUUCUCGGUGUAGCGGUGAAAUGCGCAGAUAUCAGGAAGAACACCAGUGGCGAAGGCGGCUCACUGGCCCGGUACUGACGCUGAGGUGCGAAAGCGUGGGGAGCAAACAGG
rnacentral:rRNA from 1 species